rnacentral:lncRNA from 1 species
GGUCCUCAGCCUGUCUCGCUGAUCCACUAUGGCUGGAGGCACAAGGGCUGGGCAUAUACAUGCAUGUAAAAAACCAAAAAUACGUCAUUUAACUAAUGAAAGGGUAAAACAAGAAGGAAGAAAAGGGCCUGCUGCUGUGAAGGUACAAGAGUAUCAGUCCAGCACAAGAACAAGACAGCCCUGGAGGUUGGUAUUCCCCGGCAUUCUGAAGUCAAGGCAUCAACCUUUUGGCUCUGAAUUGUACUUGUGGGAAUACUUUAAGUAG